GUGCCAGCAGCCGCGGUAAUACGUAGGUGGCAAGCGUUGUCCGGAAUUAUUGGGCGUAAAGCGCGCGCAGGUGGUCCUUUAAGUCUGAUGUGAAAGCCCACGGCUCAACCGUGGAGGGUCAUUGGAAACUGGGGGACUUGAGUGCAGAAGAGGAUAGUGGAAUUCCAAGUGUAGCGGUGAAAUGCGUAGAGAUUUGGAGGAACACCAGUGGCGAAGGCGACUAUCUGGUCUGUAACUGACACUGAGGCGCGAAAGCGUGGGGAGCAAACAGGAUUAGAAACCCGGGUAGUCC
rnacentral:rRNA from 1 species